rnacentral:lncRNA from 1 species
AAUAAAUAAAUAUACCAAUCCCCUGUAAUAUGGAUUUUUAUUUACAGAAAAUAUACAACCAGCGCAAACGGGCAAGGAAAAAAGGCAGUGAGGAUGUAGUGAUGCUAUUGGGAGAUCGGAUGUUGAACUCCGGUGGGUUCACCGGAAUAACGCCGGCUAAUUAAAAUUCGAUCAAAUUUGGCCCUCCCAUGGUGCGGCGGGGGCGGGUGAAGGGGAGGAGGCGGCGCGGCGGCGGGGUGCGCCGGUUGGUGAUGCCGGCUGGUUUUGGGGGUAUAGGCCGUCGGAUUUUAGGUUUUCCGGUGGAAUAACCGCUGGAAUAGUAACAAAAGUGGCGGGGAGACGGAAAUACCGGCGAUGGGAAAAGGGGUGACGCCGGUGAGUUGGGGAUCGCCGGUGAGUUGGUUCGCCGGUGAGUCAUCGGGACGGGAUUUGGUCACUAUUUUUUUGUAUAUUUUUUGGCAAAAAUUCACCAGAAAAUAUUUUUCUCCUCCGAUCCAAACUCUUUUCUUUUUUUCUAUUAAAUCAAACCUCAAUUUUACUGCUUUCUUCUUAUUUUCUCACCGAUUUUUCUACUGUGUAAAGAUGUACAUGUAUAUUUGUGAAUGUGAAGUAACGAAUUACCGUGUAAAUAAUAUUUUAUUCUGUUUUUUCAUGUACACAUGAAAAAUCAGAUGUUUUAUUGCAUAAUAUUAAUUUCUUUUCAUUGUUAAUAAUAUGCAUCAGAUACAGACAAGAAAUAAUCAUCACCGAAAACUCGACAGAC